UUACACACAUAUCCCACUAUGACGAUGUGGAAAAACGUCAGCCGGAAAAGCUGUCACUACGUCAGCCACUACUGUUUUACAGCGGCAGCUGUUUUGUGCUUGCUUUCUGUCCACCAUAGACCCCGGAACAAUUCCUGCACCGUAACGGUUGCUAUCCGGGCAUAUUAGUUGAGCACUCAUCCUGGCUGUCUGAGGUUUCCCUAGUCAACAGAAAAAUGCAGAACCCUCCGAAUCAAGAACUCAUCCACCCAUCAUGCCAUGACUGAAGCUGUGACUAGUGGCCCAAGUGGACCUUCAGGUGAUAAGCAGAUGGUGGUGGUUAAAGAAGAAGCUCCUGAAGACCCCACACCUUGUGCUGAUCUGCCUGACCCAAAGCUCCUCUACAGUCAUGGAAAAAUGUUUUGAGAAUGAUUCAAGUGUUAAUAUUUACAAAGUCUACUGCUUCAGUUUUUAUAACGGCAAUUUGCAUAUACUCCAGAAUGUUAUAAAGAGUGAUCAGCGUAACAGCAAUUAAUUGCAAAGUCAAUAUUUGCCUAGAAAAUGAACUUUAUCCCCCAAAACACAUUUCAACUUCAUUGCAGCCCUGCCUUAAAAGGACCAGCUAACAUCGCUUCAGUGAUUGCUCCAUUAACACAGGUGUGGGUGGUGAUGAGGACAGGGCUGGAGAUCAAUCUGUCAUGAUUAAGUAAGAAUGACACCACUGGACACUUUAAAAAGAGGCUGGUGCUUGGCAUCAUUGUUUCUCUUCUGUGAACCAUGGUUAUCUCGAAAGAAACACGUGCAGUCAUCAUUGCACUGCACAAAAAUGGCCUAACAGGUAAGGAAAUCGCAGCUAGAAAGAUUGCACCUCAGUCAAUAAUCUAUCGCAUCAUCAAGAACUUCAAGAAGAGAGGUUCCAUUGUUGCCAAAAAGGCUCCAGGGCGCCCAAGAAAGACCAGCAAGCGCCAGGACCGUCUCUUAAAAGUGUUUCAGCUGCGGGAUCGGGCUACCAGCAGUGCAGAGCUUGCUCAGGAAUGGCAG